UCAGAAAGGACGUGGUUGGUCAGUGUGUGUGACGUCAUUGUCAGUGAGAGUGUAAAAUAAUUCUGUUUCUGAUAUGACGAAAGAAAAUAUAAGGAACCACUUGUUUUAAGAAACCAUAAAAUGGACGAGUGAUUUCAGCGUGGUAAAGUAACUCGGAUAUCUUAACACAUUUAUGUCGUAAAAAUGAUAGCGACCAAUCAUAAAAAAAGCAGUAGCAUUUAAAAAGCAGCCUGAGAAAUGAGAUUUUGCUUACAAUAAUUGGUCACAUAGCUUGGAAAGUAAUUUUUCAAAAUCUCCACAUCUCAAUUAAGGAAAUACAAAAUGGCGGCUCCUACCAGUCACAAAAUUUACCUUCUCUUUCUCAUUGGACUGACAUUCCUAAACCUGUCAUCCCCAUUUCCAACCGAGGCAACCUCUGAUUACCAAGUGGAGACGAGCAGCAGUCUAUACCCAUCUGCCAGCGAUGCGGACAGAAUAGCUGUCCUCUCUGCGCACCACUACCUAUUCGAAAGAAUCCGGAGACUUCCGAGUGUCGAUGCCGAAGAUGACCGACCACGUCGCACGUUCCCCGAAGUGGACUCGAGAGGCUUCGACGAGGAUGUCUUCGACGAAGGAUUCGGCGAAUGGUAUCCAAUGAAAAGAUUUUGAAUGAUGUAGAAAAGACUUAAAAAAAAACGUCUUUAUGGAUGCAAAAAAUGUAAAAUGUGUAAUAAAUAUGCACUAUUUAAAAUA